UGCCAGACUCCUACGGGAGGCAGCAGUGGGGAAUAUUGCACAAUGGGGGGAACCCUGAUGCAGCGACGCCGCGUGGGUGAAGGAGCACCUCGGUGCGUAAAGCCCUAUCGGCAGGGAAGAAAAGCGAACAGGUUCGCCUGGACGGUACCUGACUAAGAAGCCCCGGCUAACUACGUGCCAGCAGCCGCGGUAAUACGUAGGGGGCAAGCGUUAUCCGGAUUUACUGGGUGUAAAGGGAGCGUAGACGGCAGUGCAAGUCUGGAGUGAAAGGCGGGGGCUCAACCCCCGGACUGCUCUGGAAACUGUACGGCUGGAGUGCAGGAGAGGUAAGUGGAAUUCCUAGUGUAGCGGUGAAAUGCGUAGAUAUUAGGAGGAACACCAGUGGCGAAGGCGGCUUACUGGACUGUAACUGACGUUGAGGCUCGAAAGCGUGGGGAGCAAACAGGAUUAGAUACCCCAGUA
rnacentral:rRNA from 1 species